rfam:Gossypium raimondii Chr09_contig_635, whole genome shotgun sequence.
GCUAGAACAACUCAGUUAGUUAGAGCAUGUGGUUGUUAACCACAAAGUCGAAUGUUUGAACCUCUUUCUAGCA